GAGUAUAUAAUACCGCAUGAGAACUGAGGUUGAAAGCGGGGGAUCGUAACACCUUGCGCAACUGGAGCGGCCGAUGGAAUAUUAAGUAUUUGGUGGAAUAAAAUCUUACCAAGCCGACAAUCUGUAUCUGGUCUGAGAGGACCACCACCCACUCUGGGACUGAGACGCGGCCCAGACUCCUACGGGAGGCAGAAGGGGAGUUUUUUGGACAAUGGGCAAAACCCUGACCCAACUAUGCCCCGUGCAUGAUGAACGCCUUCGGGUUGUAAACUGCUUUUGAACGGAACAAAAACCUUCGUUAUAAUAUCCUGGAGUCAUGACGCUACCGGAAAAAUAAGCACCGGCUAACUCCCCGCCCGCCCCCGCGGUAAUAAAUAGGGGGAAAGUGUUAACCGUAAUUACUGGGCGAACCGGGUGCGCGGGCGUUUUUGUAAAAAAUAGGUAAACUCCCCGGUCUCCCCUGGCAACUGCCUUUGUGACUGCUA
rnacentral:rRNA from 1 species